GAAGGCCAAGUGCCCACGGGAGAGACCAGCUCUGUCCCCCAGGCAACGACACCUUAACACAAAUGAGGGCACCAGGCUCCCUUGCAGAUGGAGUGGCUGGGUGAAAACAGCUUGGCUGAUGGGGUGUCUGUUGAUGUCGGCUGAGGGGCUUCAGCUUUUGCUUCCUGAUAAAAGGGGCGGAAAUGGCUGGCCCCUUUCCUACUUGAUGUGAUGCGUGGUGAUGUGACAGUCAUCGAACCACCAGAAGCAACCAGCCUGAAGACAAAGCUGGGACACUAAGGAGGAAGGGCUGGGCAGGGGGCACAGAGCCUGGGUCCCUCCUAGCUUUGUGGGCAGCUGAGACACAGCUUACCAUGUGAGAAAGAGGACACCUUACUUCUUGUUUAAAUCACAGGGUUUUUUGUUUGUUGGUUUGUUUGUUUUGCUUUUUAGGGCCCCCACCUGGCAUAUGGAAGUUCCCAGGCUAGGGGUCUAAUUGGAGCUUCCGCUGCCAGCCUACACCACAGCCACAGCAACGCUGGAUCCUUAACCCACUGAGCGAGGCCAGGGAUUGAACCCACAUCCUCCUGGAUACUAGUUGGGUCCAUUCCCUGCUGAGCCACAGUGGGAACUCCCUAAACCACAGUUCUUUGGGUUUUGUGUUCCUUACGGCCCAGCGCAAUCCUGAUGGAUUCAUGGCCCUUUGCAAGAGAGUGGGUAGCCUUGAUGGCCUGCAGAGUGUGUAGGGACGCCCUCUGGCUUCUUGGGAAGCUGGUCCCUGGGGUGUGACUUCCUGGGAAGGGAAGGCCACAUGGAUAGGUCCCGAUAGCACCCUGGGGGAGUGGGUACUGUCGGGGGACCCUCUGUGACCCUGGGCACCUGCGUAAGAGUUACCCCUGGUUGGGUGUGGCAUUUGGGGGUUGCCUUCUCUGGAAUGGUUACAGCCACUUGAGCAGGUCAGACAAGGAGACCUUCCUGUCGGACUAAGACCUGCUGCCCACAGCGCCACCGUAUGACAGAGAAAGGCAACAACAGUGGCUGAGGGAUCUGAUUUCUGCCCUCUCUGGUCUCAGUGAGACAGGCACCUUCCCAGCGUUAGUGGCCAAUUCCAGGAAAGACCCAGACAGACUGUUCAUCUGAAGGGUAGAAGUCCAAGCUAUUUUUUUUUCCUGUUCAAGGGGAAAAGUUAAAGAUUUGUACCUUGACUUUUUGAUUUAAAAAAACAUUUUUUUUUCUUUCUGCAGCCACACCUGUGGCAUAUGGAAGUUCCCAGCCCUGGGAUUGAGUCGGAGCUGCAUCUGCGACCUACACCACAGCUCACAGCAACACCGGAUCCCUAACUUGCUGAAUAAGGCCAGGGAUCGAACCCGUGUCCUCACAGAUACUAGGUGAAUUCAUUAA
rnacentral:lncRNA from 1 species